rnacentral:rRNA from 1 species
CGAAAGCCUGACGGAGCAAUACCGCGUGAGGGAGGAAGGCCCUUGGGUUGUAAACCUCUUUUCUCAGGGAAGAAUAAAUGACGGUACCUGAGGAAUCAGCAUCGGCUAACUCCGUGCCAGCAGCCGCGGUAAUACGGAGGAUGCAAGCGUUAUCCGGAAUUAUUGGGCGUAAAGCGUCCGUAGGUGGCAGUGCAAGUCUGCGGUCAAAGACUGGAGCUUAACUUCAGAAAGGCAGUGGAAACUGCACAGCUAGAGAAAGGUAGGGGCAGAGGGAAUUCUCGGUGUAGCGGUGAAAUGCGUAGAGAUCGGGAAGAACACCAGUGGCGAAAGCGCUCUGCUGGACCAAUUCUGACACUGUGGGACGAAAGCU